rnacentral:rRNA from 1 species
GACGAACGCUGGCGGCGUGCUUAACACAUGCAAGUCGAACGGAAAGGCCCUGCUUUUGUGGGGUGCUCGAGUGGCGAACGGGUGAGUAACACGUGAGUAACCUGCCCUUGACUCUGGGAUAACUUCAGGAAACUGGGGCUAAUACCGGAUAGGAGCUCCUGCUGCAUGGUGGGGGUUGGAAAGUUUCGGCGGUUGGGGAUUGACUCGCAGCUUAUCAGCUUGUUGGUGGGGUAGUGGCUUACCAAGGCUUUGACGGGUAGCCGGCCUGAGAGGGUGACCGGCCACAUUGGGACUGAGAUACGGCCCAGACUCCUACGGGAGGCAGCAGUGGGGAAUAUUGCACAAUGGGCGGAAGCCUGAUGCAGCAACGCCGCGUGCGGGAUGACGGCCUUCGGGUUGUAAACCGCGUUCGCCUGUGACGAAGCGUGAGUGGCGGUAAUGGGUAAAGAAGCACCGGCUAACUACGUG